rnacentral:rRNA from 1 species
AAUCAACGCUGGCGGCGUGCCUAACACAUGCAAGUCGAACGAGAAAGUGGAGCAAUCCAUGAGUAAAGUGGCGCACGGGUGAGUAACACGUGACUAACCUACCCUUGAGUGGGGGAUAACCUCGGGAAACCGGGGCUAAUACCGCAUAACACCGAGAGGUCAAAGGAGCAAUUCGCUUAAGGAGGGGGUCGCGGCUGAUUAGUUAGUUGGCAGGGUAAUGGCCUACCAAGACGAUGAUCAGUAUCCGGCCUGAGAGGGCGCACGGACACACUGGAACUGAAACACGGGUCCAGACUCCUACGGGAGGCAGCAGUGGGGAAUUUUGCGCAAUGGGGGAAACCCUGACGCAGCAACGCCGCGUGGAGGAUGAAGUCCC